rnacentral:rRNA from 1 species
GAUGAACGCUGGCGGCGUGCCUAAUACAUGCAAGUCGAGCGAACAGAUAAGGAGCUUGCUCCUUUGACGUUAGCGGCGGACGGGUGAGUAACACGUGGGUAACCUACCUAUAAGACUGGAAUAACUCCGGGAAACCGGGGCUAAUGCCGGAUAACAUUUAGAACCGCAUGGUUCUAAAGUGAAAGAUGGUUUUGCUAUCACUUAUAGAUGGACCCGCGCCGUAUUAGCUAGUUGGUAAGGUAACGGCUUACCAAGGCAACGAUACGUAGCCGACCUGAGAGGGUGAUCGGCCACACUGGAGCUGAGACACGGUCCAGACUCCUACGGGAGGCAGCAGUAGGGAAUCUUCCGCAAUGGGCGAAAGCCUGACGGAGCGACGCCGCGUGAGUGAUGAAGGCCUUCGGAUCGUAAAACUCUGUUAUUAGGGAAGAACAAAUGUGUAAGUAACUGUGCACGUCUUGACGGUACCUAAUCAGAAAGCCACGGCUAACUACGUG